rnacentral:rRNA from 1 species
AGAGUUUGAUCAUGGCUCAGGAUGAACGCUAGCGGGGGGCCUAACACAUGCAAGUCAAACCCGAGUAAUCGGGUGGCAAACGAGUGAGUAACACGUGCCUAACCUGCCCAGAAGUGGGGGAUAACAUCGGAAACGGUGAUAAUCCCGCAUAAUCCCUACGGGGGAAAGAUUUAUCGCUUUUGGAGGGGGGUGCGGCUUAUUAGCUAGUUGGUAAGGUAAUGGCUUACCAAGGCUUUGAUGAGUAACUGGUCUGAGAGGAUGAUCAGUCACGAUGGAACUGAGACACGGUCCAUACCCCUACGGGGGGCAGCAGUGGGGAAUCUUGCGCAAUGGACGAAAGUCUGACGCAGCCACCCCGCGUGGAGGAUGACGCAUUACGGUGUGUAAACUCCUUUUCUGGAGGAAGACGACUGACGGUACUCCAGGAAUAAGCGACGGCUAACUACGUGCCAGCAGCCGCGGUAAUACGUAGGUCGCAAGCGUUAUCCGGAUUUACUGGGCGUAAAGCGUCCGUAGCUGGUUUGAUAAGUUCGCUUUUAAAUAUUCUGGCUCAACCAGAAAAGGGGAGCGAAUACUGUCAUACUAGAGGAAGAUAGGGGAUAGUAGAAUUUCCGGUGGAGGGGUGAAAUCCGUUGAUAUCGGAAGGAAUACCAAAAGCGAAGGCAGCUAUCUAUAUCUCUCCUGACGGUCAUGGACGAAAGUCUGGGUAGCAAACGGGAUUAGAUACCCCGGUAGUCCAGACUGUAAAUGAU